rnacentral:precursor_RNA from 15 species
GUGCAUACUUACAUAUGGACCAUUAACAGAAACCCGUAAAUCCGAACUUGUGCUGUUUUAUAUCUGUUACAAGACCGGCAUUAUGGGAGUCUGUCAAUGCAAACAACUUGGUUUUUGGCAA